rnacentral:rRNA from 1 species
AUACGGAGGAUCCGAGCGUUAUCCGGACUUAUUGGGUUUAAAGGGUGCGCAGGCGGCCAUUUAAGUCAGCGGUUAAAUCGUGGGGCUCAACCCCAUUCUGCCGUUGAUACUGGGUGGCUUGAUUGCGGUCGAGGUUGGCGGAAUUCGUUGUGUAGCGGUGAAAUGCAUAGAUAUGACGAAGAACACCGAUUGCGUAGGCAGCUGACCAGAUCGCAAAUGACGCUCAUGCACGAAAGUGCGGGGAUCGAACAGGAUUAGAUACCCUGGUAGUCCGCACAGUAAACGAUGAAUACUUGUUUUCGGCGAUAUAAUGUCGGAGGCAAAGCGAAAGCGAUAAGUAUUCCACCUGGGGAGUACGCCGGCAACGGUGAAACUCAAAGGAAUUGACGGGG